rnacentral:rRNA from 1 species
GAUGAACGCUAGCGGCAGGCUUAAUACAUGCAAGUCGAGGGGCAGCAGGUUUGUAGCAAUACAGAUGCUGGCGACCGGCAAACGGGUGCGGAACACGUACACAACCUUCCUUUAAGUGGGGAAUAGCCCAGAGAAAUUUGGAUUAAUACCCCGUAACAUUAUGAUGUGGCAUCACAUUAUAAUUAUAGCUCCGGCGCUUAAUGAUGGGUGUGCGGCUGANAGGUAGUUGGCGGGUAACGGCCACCAAGCCUGCGAUCAGUAACUGGUGUGAGAGCACGACCAGUCACACGGGCACUGAGACCACGGGCCCGAUCCUACGGGAGCAGCAGUAAGGAAUAUUGGGCAAUGGAGGCAACUCUGACCCAGCCAUGCCGCGU